UUAACGGGUAACACGGCCACGUAAUCAGAAAACCAUACUGAUAGAAUAUGCAACAUUAAGUCCAAGUUAAGUUGCAUUCUCCGAUACAAGAUUAAGUCAACAUUAAAUUUCAACUAAGAUUAGAUAGAUAUUCAUUAAAAAUAGAAUAAAUAGCAACUAUAGUUGUAUUAUUAUAAUAAUAUACGUUAACGGUUUUCGAUUUACUUAGGUCUUAUUAAAUUACCAAAAACUGUGGCAGAGACACAUCUCACUUACCAAAGCACGGGAUCGUACAACAUAACGCAUCAAACCGAUUCGCUAUGAGUGAUGCCGAGCUCCAAAUCUAAUUCCGUUGAGAUAUUUUUGAAAUAACCACAACAUCACAACUACAGAGACAGCACAGAUUACAACCAAGAGUCAAAUUGAAAAAAUAACGUGUUUUAAAUUCUAAAUAAAUCCUGCCGGCAUAAUCCAUGACGUAGCUGCAUGCAGGAACACAUUCGAACGGUUGACGUCCGUGAGAACGGAGUGGCCAUUACCUACCCAUUCACUAUCAAUGAUGAAGUACACCGACUGUAUACUCUGUACAAAAGAGUGGUACCUUAUACUUGCCCAUUUUUUUUUUAAUUUGCAAUAUAGAAAACGUGAUAAUGCUCACGUUUUUGUAUUCAAAUAUUUAUUUUUCGUUUUCUGUGACCUCUGAAAAA